rnacentral:rRNA from 1 species
UACAGAGGGUGCAAACGUUGCUCGGAAUCAUUGGGCGUAAAGCGCACGUAGGCGGCCCAGCAAGUGGGGAGUGAAAGCCCUCGGCUUAACCGAGGAAGUGCUUUCCAAACUACUGGGCUUGAAUACUGGAGAGGGUCGGGGAAUUCCCGGUGUAGAGGUGAAAUUCGUAGAUAUCUGGAGGAACACCGGUGGCGAAGGCGGCAUCCUGGACCAAUACUGACACUGAGGAGCGAAAGCCAGGGGAGCAAACGGG